rnacentral:rRNA from 1 species
GACGAACGCUGGCGGCGUGCUUAACACAUGCAAGUCGAACGGAAAGGCCCUGCUUUUGUGGGGUGCUCGAGUGGCGAACGGGUGAGUAACACGUGAGUAACCUGCCCUUGACUUUGGGAUAACUUCAGGAAACUGGGGCUAAUACCGGAUAGGAGCUCCUGCUGCAUGGUUGGGGUUGGAAAGUUUCGGCGGUUGGGGAUGGACUCGCGGCUUAUCAGCUUGUUGGUGGGGUAGUGGCUUACCAAGGCUUUGACGGGUAGCCGGCCUGAGAGGGUGACCGGCCACAUUGGGACUGAGAUACGGCCCAGACUCCUACGGGAGGCAGCAGUGGGGAAUAUUGCACAAUGGGCGGAAGCCUGAUGCAGCAACGCCGCGUGCGGGAUGACGGCCUUCGGGUUGUAACCCGCUUUCGCCUGUGACGAAGCGUGAGUGACGGUAAUGGGUAAAGAAGCACCGGCUAACUACGUG